UACGUAGGGAGCGAGCGUUGUCCGGAUUCAUUGGGCGUAAAGAGCUCGUAGGCGGCUUGGCAAGUCGGGUAUGAAAACUCCAGGCUCAACCUGGAGACGCCACCCGAUACUGCCAUGGCUAGAGUCCGGUAGGGGACCACGGAAUUCCUGGUGUAGCGGUGAAAUGCGCAGAUAUCAGGAGGAACACCGGUGGCGAAGGCGGUGGUCUGGGCCGGAACUGACGCUGAGGAGCGAAAGCGUGGGGAGCGAACAGG
rnacentral:rRNA from 1 species